AACGAACGCUGGCGGCAGGCCUAACACAUGCAAGUCGAGCGAAGCCUUCGGGCUUAGCGGCGGACGGGUGAGUAACGCGUGGGAACGUGCCCUUUGGUACGGAAUAGCCCCGGGAAACUGGGAGUAAUACCGUAUGUGGUCGAGAGACGAAAGAUUUAUCGCCAAAGGAUCGGCCCGCGUUGGAUUAGGUAGGUGGUGGGGUAAUGGCCUACCAAGCCGACGAUCCAUAGCUGGUUUGAGAGGAUGAUCAGCCACACUGGGACUGAGACACGGCCAGGACUCCUACGGGAGGCAGCAGUGGGGAAUCUUAGACAAUGGGGAAACCCUGAUCUAGCCAUGCCGCGUGAUCGAUGAAGGCCUUAGGGUUGUAAAGAUCUUUCAGUGGGGAAGAUAAUGACUGUACCCACAGAAGAAGCCCCGGCUAACUCCGUGCCAGCCGCCGCCGUAAAAC
rnacentral:rRNA from 1 species